CAGGACAUAACUUGAUUAACUUACUGUUGCACCAGAUUGACCAGACCGUAAGCUAAGUUUACAGCCACCGAUUCGAGUCCAAAGAAAAUAUAUGUAGUAUGAAUAGACAUUUAGCAAUGAAAGAUUAGGGCAAUUAAGUCUUUCUUAGUAUUUCAUACAUAAAGUUAAAACAGCUAGAAGCGAAGUUGCCAAAGCAGCACCAUGGGUUAACGCUAUAGGUUAACCGGCUUUGAGGCAUUAAAUCAAAAAAGCCGUCAAAGCAACGAAUCUCAAAUAGUUCACAUUAUACAAACAUGCGUGAGUCUUAUUGACUCAAACCUUGGGGCAAAAAAUGAAUUCUUCACAGCUUAUUGAAUCGAAGCUUGUAUAACGCAGCCCUCGAAAUGCUCGACUGAAGUAAAAAAUCUCCUGAAAUGCUAAAAUAUCAUCAUUUUCGUAGCUAGGAGUGCACCAGCUCCUAAGACCCUUAAUUUCUAGGGAAUGGGUACUUUUUUGUCCUUAAAAUUAUCCAGCUGUUGUUUUUGAUUUGAACGAAAAGUAUUAUAUUGGCAUUUUAAAAGUUUAGAUCCAGCAAGAUAGGCCAAGAGCAAUGGCAAAGUGGUUUUUGAUUUCGACAAAUUUUGACGUUCCGAUACGUCAUCAUUUUAGAAAUGAGGUUAUUGCAACUAUACCGAUAUACUUCGUCGAAGUGCUGGUGCUGAUAACAGCGUACCUUUUGCUUAGAUAUAACGAAUCGUUUGAGAUUUUUUAUUAGGAUAGAUUAUUGUGCACUUCACUAGUUCGAAGGUAAAUCAGGUCAGAGAGCCAUUGUCAUGACUACGUACCCAUACUAUGGCCUGGAACCACCCGCACUGCUUUUUAGUCAACCACAGAAAUUACUAGCAAAGGCCCAAGUCAAUUUGCUUAGUCCGGCCGCUGAGCACUCGCGCUUCGUGUCCCGCCUCGACACGGAGCGAGUGACUGCUACUGUGACCAGCUCCCUUGCCACAAGCCACCGAAAUCUUCGGAGCUGGUUAACUAAAAAGGCAAGAAUAACAACAACGACCGUCGGAACUGUCCGUUGUAUAAUAAAUAGAUCGGGAUGCCUUUCGGAAAUUACCGCGCUAGCGGGUCGCCACCGCGGCUGUCAGCUGACGCCGAGAGGUUGCCAGACAGCGGAACAGAACGAACGAACAACGACGCAGACAACGCGUACCCUAACCCGUAGUGGCGGGCAUCCAAAGGACGAGCAGCAGCGGCCACUGACUGCUAUCAAACGCAGCCAAGCACGCCUAGUCAUCCUAUUGAAGGGCCUUAAAAAGAAGGCAAAGGGCUAGAGCGAGAGGCGCAGAUAGGACACGUUAUGAACGGGAAACACGAAUUAGAAAUCAGGAUCUAUCGGAAGCUCGGGCUCGCAGGCUGUCGUUCGUCUUAUCUUCAACGUCAUGUCAUCGCCUUCUUACUCAACACAUCAGCUUCCCUUAACGUUGGGAGAUUAUCGUGCGGCCACAUCGGCAAUACUCAAGCAGAUGAAAGCGCCGCGUCCACGCGGGCGCCCUCACGGACUUAUGCUGCUAAGAAAAUGCGGCAUUUUUCCUUUUCCCGAGCUUUUCUUCCUUUGUACUUGGCCGUAGACAGUGAAACGCUAUCAAGAGCUAGAAGUUGCUGCUGCGCCCACAGGCGACUAGAGGUUUUUCACCCUUAAGAGAAAUAAGGAUGAAUACAGACAAGGGCUCAAUGUGAAUAUGGACGGAACUUGUGAGUUAUAGCUGUUCCGCGAGCUUUCCAUGUUCCGAAUAUAUAUAUAUAUAUACGCAGGGUGAAAAGAAAGGGAGACGGGAGAAAAUCCGGCUGUAACGACGAUCUGAACCGUCUCGGCAGCCAAAAAUCAAUUCAUUUACCGCAGCAUUUUCUCCUGCUAAUAUCACUAUACCAUAAAAACUGCCAUUGAAGGAUCGCUUGCCGCUGCAUCGCGCUUCUACGAAUUGGCCACAUGAUGAUACGUGUCCUAUAAAAAUUCUGCCCUGACCUGGAAGUGGAGCCGAAUGGUUAAUGUAAAGGCAGAAAUGUGUGACAGUGGUGGUCACAGAAGCGUCGAAUCUUAACGGCACCCGUGCGGCUACCCGUUGUCGAAAGAUCGUCAAAAUCGCCGACAGAGAUGGAUCGUAAAUGUUUUUAUUUUUUUUUUAUUUUGAAGUACUAAAUAUAAAUACAGCGAACUGAAAUAUUUCGUCUGAUCUAUUUA